AAACAAACCAACUACUAACAGGGUUAUUUACUAAAAUGAGAAUUGUUGGGAAUUGUGAAUUAAUUUCAAAUUUAAGGUAAAACUCUGUUACCUGCUCAGAUCCUAUUCCUAUCCCUGCCCCCUGUUCAGACCCAUAUUCCUAUCCCUGCCCCCUGCUCAGUCCCAUAUUCCUAUACCUGCUCCCUGUUCAGUCCCUAUUCCUAUCCCUGCCCCCUGUUCAGUCCUAUAUUCCUAUCCCUGCCCCCGGUUCAGUCCCCUAUUCCUAUCCCUGUUCGGUCCCAUAUUCCUAUGCGUGCCCCGUGCUCAGUCCCAUAUUCCUAUCCCUGCCCCCUGUUCAGUCCCAUAUUCCUAUCCCUGUUCGGUCCCAUAUUCCUAUCCCUGCCCCCUGCUCAGUCCCAUUUUCCUAUCCCUGCUCAGCCCCAUAUUCCAAUCCCUGUCCCCUGUUCAGGUCCCAUAUUCCUAUCCCUGCUCCCUGUUCGGUCCCAUAUUCCUAUCCCUGCUACCUGUUAAGUCCCUAUUCCUAUCCCUGCCCCCUGUUCAGUCCCUAUUCCUAUCCCUUUCCCCUGUUCAGUCCUUUAUUCCUAUCCCUGCCCACUGUUCAGUACAUUAUUCCUAUCCCUGUUCGGUCCCAUAUUCCUAUCCGUGCCCUCUGCUCAGUCCGAUAUUCCUAUUCCUGCCCCCUGUUCAGUCCCAUAUUCCUAUCCCUGUUCGGUCCCAUAUUCCUACCCCUGCUCCCUGCUCAGUCCCAUUUUCCUAUCCCUGCUCCGCCCUAUAUUCCAAUCCCUGCCCCUUGUUCAGUCCCAUAUUCCUAUCUCUGCUCCCUGUUCGGUCCCAU